rnacentral:rRNA from 1 species
UACGAAGGGGGCUAGCGUUGCUCGGAAUCACUGGGCGUAAAGCGCACGUAGGCGGCUUAUUAAGUCAGAGGUGAAAUCCUGGAGCUCAACUCCAGAACUGCCUUUGAUACUGAUGAGCUUGAGUUCGGGAGAGGUGAGUGGAACUGCGAGUGUAGAGGUGAAAUUCGUAGAUAUUCGCAAGAACACCAGUGGCGAAGGCGGCUCACUGGCCCGAUACUGACGCUGAGACGCGAAAGCGUGGGGAGCAAACAGG